GUGUGCGAUCAUACUAACGUUAAUGCACCAGAUCCCAUCAGAAAUCCACAGUUAAGCAUGCUUGGGAUAGAGUAGUACUGGGAUGGGUGACCUCCCAAGAAGUCCUAUUGUUGCACCCU
rnacentral:rRNA from 1 species